UACGGAGGAUGCAAGCGUUAUCCGGAAUGAUUGGGCGUAAAGCGUCCGCAGGUGGCAAUGUAAGUCUGCUGCCAAAGCGUCUGGCUCAACCAGAUAAAGGCAGUGGAAACUACAUAGCUAGAGUAAGGUAGGGGUAGAGGGAAUUCCUGGUGUAGCGGUGAAAUGCGUAGAGAUCAGGAAGAACACCGGUGGCGAAAGCGCUCUGCUGGACCUAAACUGACACUGAGGGACGAAAGCUAGGGGAGCGAAUGGG
rnacentral:rRNA from 1 species